AGGCAGCAGUGGGGAAUAUUGGACAAUGGGGGCAACCCUGAUCCAGCAAUGCCGCGUGAGUGAUGAAGGCCUUAGGGUUGUAAAGCUCUUUCGGCGGGGACGAUGAUGACGGUACCCGCAGAAGAAGCCCCGGCUAACUUCGUGCCAGCAGCCGCGGUAAUACGAAGGGGGCAAGCGUUGUUCGGAAUCACUGGGCGUAAAGGGCGCGCAGGCGGUCCUUCAAGUCAGAUGUGAAAGCCCCGGGCUCAACCUGGGAAUUGCAUUUGAGACUGGAGGACUGGAGGACGGGAGAGGAGAGUGGAAUUCCCAGUGUAGAGGUGAAAUUCGUAGAUAUUGGGAAGAACACCAAUGGCGAAGGCAGCUCUCUGGACCGUACCUGACGCUGAGGCGCGAAAGCGUGGGGAGCAAACAGGAUUAGAUACCCUGGUAGUCCACGCCGUAAACGAUGUGUGCUAGACGUUGGGAGACCUAGUCUCCCUGUGUCGCAGCUAACGC
rnacentral:rRNA from 1 species